rnacentral:lncRNA from 1 species
CAUCCGUGUUCAUCCUCAACCUUUAAAUAUGUUAUGUAUUAUCAUCCAAUACAACUUACAUUUCAAUAUUAAGAAUGAACACGAAUGCGACCACUUUCAUUUAAGACGGAAACCGUCUAAAAUUUAACAAAAAUGCUAAAAUUGUGAAGAUUUCUGUAAUUUAGCAUGACUUAAUGAUGCUAGUACCCGAUAUAUGUGCAUUGUAUUGUCAAAAAACAGCC